rnacentral:tRNA from 1 species
AGGAGUAUAGUUUAAAGGAUAAAACCUUGGUUUACGAAUCCAAAGAUGCGAGUUCGAGUCUUGCUAUUCCUA